UGCCCAGCAACUCCUAUCCCUACCUCCUCGCAGUACUGGCCGGGGUACGAGUACCCUUAGGGAAGA
rnacentral:ribozyme from 1 species